UGAUAUUACAGAAGUACAGGGCUGUGGAGGAAGGAACAUGGUGGACAUGGGAAUAUUCAGAGAAGCAAGGAGUAAGACUCACUGGCUUCAAGUAGCCUAAGUAUCCAUUCAUCCCUUGCUCUAUACAUACGGCCAGCAGUACUGAGGACAUGGUUCCUGUUUUAAAAAAGGAGAAAAAAGAAAGAGAAAGAGGACAAGGACAACACAAGAAACUUUGAAAUGCAUUAGAGACUAUGGCAUAUUUUCAAUAUUUCUAUUUAUCAAGUCAAUACUUUAAUUUUAAAAAUAUGAUGUCUGAUUUAAAACUUCAUUUGGAGAGAACAUUAAAAUAUAUACAUUUGAAGCUCUGUGGGAAUGUGAGCUAUGGGCUCAAGGGCCCUCCUGCCCUUUCGGGCCAACUCUGGUCUUUUCCCACUUUUCCCAUUUCUUUCCUCACCUUCACCCCUACUCUGGCCAGUCUCCCUCCCUUUCUCUCUCCCUCCCUUUCUUCCUUUGUUCUUUCCUUCCUUCCUUCCCUGGGAUUUUCCCCCCUGUUAAUGCUGUUUAAUUGAGAGAAGUAAAUCAAGAAAAAUAACAACAGAGAA